UACGUAGGGUGCAAGCGUUAAUCGGAAUUAUGCUGGGCGUAAAGCGUGCGCAGGCGGUUAAUGUAAGACAGGUGUGAAAUCCCGAGGGCUUAACCUUGGAACUGCAUUUGUGACUGCAUAGCUAGAGUACGGUAGAGGGGGAUGGAAUUCCGCGUGUAGCAGUGAAAUGCGUAGAGAUCCGGAAGAACACCGGAGGCGAAGGCGGCUUGCUGGCAU
rnacentral:rRNA from 1 species